UACGUAGGUGGCGAGCGUUGUCCGGAAUUACUGGGUGUAAAGGGCGUGUAGGCGGGGAAGCAAGUCAGAUGUGAAAUCCCGGGGCUCAACUCCGGAGUUGCAUCUGAAACUGUUUUUCUUGAGUGCUGGAGAGGAAAGCGGAAUUCCUAGUGUAGCGGUGAAAUGCGUAGAUAUUAGGAGGAACACCAGUGGCGAAGGCGGCUUUCUGGACAGCAACUGACGCUGAGGCGCGAAAGCGUGGGGAGCAAACAGGAUUAGAUACCCUGGUA
rnacentral:rRNA from 1 species